AGGGGAUAAACAAAAAACAGACGUUCGUUAGUUUAUGUACAAAACAUGGAUUCCCAAAAGUAAACAUCAUUCUUCUUAAUGCCGGCACGACACCACCAACAAACGUCAAAUGUCUAGUUCAUUGUCAUAAAUUAACUUUUGCAUCACAGCCACCUUCGAUGUCUUCCCGCCGUUCUCCCCAGUGGGCUGCUUUUUUUUAUCAACAACCGGUUGUACUACUGAUGCACUUUGAUCUCUCUCAGCCGAUUAGCGCCCUCCACUCCAUUCAAACGUGUUUCAUAACAAACGCCACCUCGAGAGAGCUCUAAUUCCAUCGCUACGAUCACUGGGAUGGCGGGAGGAAUUCUAGCUAAGGCAUUUGCGAGACUUCUGAGGAAGCCACUCGCACGGCGCUGAUCGUUAACGAGGUCAAUCAGUCUCGCUGUGUACUUCGAAGACGGUGAAUCGGCUAACGCGCGUGCAGUUAAAAUACACCGCAACCUAAUCAUGAUGCGUGGAAUACGUCACAACUUCAGAUCAGCGUCUGCUAUCAGUUUUGUGGUGCUAAUUUUGUUUACACUCUACCACACUGGUGAGGGAAAGGUGUACGAAAAGUGUACGCUGGCCAGAACGCUUGAUCGGCAGAAGAUCUCCUCGCGGACGCUGAUAUCCAAUUGGGUCUGUCUGGUGAUGGCCGAGAGUGGUGCUGAUACCAGCAAGGUGACAAAACUCCCAAAUGAUUCCGCCAACUAUGGUAUCUUUCAGAUCAAUAGCAAAACCUGGUGCCGGGAGGGUCGAAAGGGAGGCCACUGCGACAAGAAGUGCGAAGACUUUCUGAACGACGAUCUCACGGACGAUAUCGAGUGUGCGAAGCAGAUCUACAAUGACAGUGGGUUUGCCGCUUGGAAAGGAUGGGUUAACCGCUGCAAGCAAAAGACGCUGCCCGAUCUGUCGUCCUGCUGGAACUAGGAACUUCUAUAACACACACUUUACAUGACAUUAUUGUCUCUUCACUCUUUCACACACUCACUGGGUGGGUGCAUCCGACCGAUUACUGGUUGGGAUUUUCCCGCACAUGCUAAUAUAAACACGAAACAGUAUCAGUGCAGGGUAGACAGUACGAAGAAAUUGAGCGUUGCAUGUAUGUAAAAACAACGUUUUAGAGAUGCAGCACAACACAAAUACAGAAACAAAUUGACGAUCGUACGCCGUAAUCUAGUUCGCAACAAGAUAAGCAUCUUUGCCUUAAUGAUCUUUGUAAAAGUAGGAACAUCGCCACCAUUAGCUGUAAUGUAAUGGGAAGCUCACCAUCAACAAACACCGUCAAUCUUCCCAGAAUUGGGUUCUCCAACAAACUGCUGCCACAUUACCCCUCUAGGUGGAUUGAAAAUGAUAGUGAAGAUUCACACUGCUGUAACCACUACCACCUCAACUACAGCGCCACUCUGUACAGGUUACUCCCUCGGAGGAGGUACGUACCAGAAAGGCACACAACGAGGAAGCAUGUUGGUGCCGACUCUACGCGCCUAAACGUCGAGCUCGCGCGCACGUUAGAUCUGACGUCGUUCCACAACCAGCACACUCCCGCUCUCAAAAAGAACAAAAAAAAAAAACACACGAUCCAGAUUGUUCAAACACCCUCUUAUACCUGUGUGUAGUUCCCACUAGAAAACGCGGGCCGCUGUCACUGUCAAGUGUACAGCCGUGUGUGCGUGUGUGGCUAUUACAAUAUAAAACGCCUGUCUGCGCAACACGGUUCGCGCAAGUAGCUACGGGCCCGGGUACUAGUGACAAACCGGAAAUCACGCAUCGUUGCGCGUACCGUUCGGUGUACGCAGUGGCCGAACAGAACGGAAUCACUUGAUUGACGGCGACACCAGUGUCCAGAUUUAGGUGUUGAGCG